rnacentral:rRNA from 1 species
GAUGAACGCUGGCGGCGUGCCUAACACAUGCAAGUCGAACGGACUUACAUUGAAGCCUAGCGAUAUGUAAGUUAGUGGCGGACGGGUGAGUAACGCGUGGGUAACCUGCCUUGUACUGGGGGACAACAGUUGGAAACGACUGCUAAUACCGCAUAAGCGCACAGCUUCGCAUGAAGCAGUGUGAAAAACUCCGGUGGUACAAGAUGGACCCGCGUCUGAUUAGCUGGUUGGUGAGGUAACGGCCCACCAAGGCGACGAUCAGUAGCCGGCCUGAGAGGGUGAACGGCCACAUUGGGACUGAGACACGGCCCAAACUCCUACGGGAGGCAGCAGUGGGGAAUAUUGCACAAUGGGGGAAACCCUGAUGCAGCGACGCCGCGUGAGCGAAGAAGUAUUUCGGUAUGUAAAGCUCUAUCAGCAGGGAAGAAGAAAUGACGGUACCUGACUAAGAAGCACCGGCUAAAUACGUGCCAGCAGCCG